CUGAAAAGAUGGGGCUACUGUCCCUUGGAGCCAGAGUACCCACCAGCACUGGUGGAAGGGGCCAAGGAAUUUAGUUAUCCCUUUACUUGCUGGGAUCUAAGCGACUUCUCUGUCUCCCUCUUGGCAAGAUGAACCAGCAACUGUUUCAGUCUGUGAGCGGUCUCCUCUCUACCUCCCAUGGUUAUCUUACCUUUUCGAUUGCAUGGAUGUCCUCCUGAGUCCCUUGCUCUUGUCCCCCUCCUGUCACAUACCCCAUGGAAUUACUGUAGUCUAGAAUCCUACCUGCAGGCAGAGAGUGCUAGUCAUCAGGCUCUCAGGGAACUAGGGCUAGCUCUCUGCCUCGGGACUGCUGGUGGGUUUUACCAAGGCCUCCUGCAGCUGUGUUCCUAUAAUUCGCCCCUCUACUUUGCAGCAGGUACCAGGCUCACUGUGACAGAGGAUUUGAGCAAGGUGAGUCCGCCCAAGGUCACCUUGUUUGAGCCAUCAGAAGCAGAGAUCGUCGACAAACAAAUGGCCACCCUUGUGUGUCUGGCCAGGGGCUUCUACCCUGACCACGUGGAACUGAGCUGGUGGGUGAAUGGCAAGGAGGUCCACAGUGGAGUCAGCACAGACCCUCAGCCCUACAUGGAGAACAAUAACCUCACCUACUGCCUGAGCAGCCGCCUGAGGGUCUCUGCGACCUUCUGGCACAACCCUCGCAACCACUUCCGCUGCCAAGUCCAGUUCUAUGGGCUAACAGAUGAAGACGUGUGGACGGAGUCCUCGCCCAAGCCUGUCACCCAGAACAUCAGUGCAGAGGCCUGGGGUAGUGCAGAGUGUGGCAUUACCUCAGCAUCCUACCAACAAGGGGUCCUGUCUGCCACCAUCCUUUAUGAGAUCCUGCUGGGGAAGGCCACCCUGUACGCUGUGCUUGUCAGUACCCUGGUGCUGAUGGCGAUGGUCAAAAGAAAGAAUUCCUGAGGCCAGACUUGGAGGCAGAGCCCAGAACUUUCAAUACAGAUUCUCUUUUGCCAGCACUUCUGAAGAGCUGUCCUCAUUUGUCUGUGUGUCCCAAAGUCUGCUUACUAGUCAUGUGCACUUACCCAUGUGCGUCUGAAAUCCCUGGGACCUGAAGAGCACCUAGCAUAUAUACAAUCAAAAAACAUAACCAAUAAAUUUGUUCUAGAACGA